CUCGUGUGUGUUCACGGUUCCAGAGGGCAGAUGCUUUGCAAGCCAGCGUUCCUUUUUUCCCCAGAUCCUGACCGAGUCCACCACACUCACCAGGGCUGAAGUAAGUCUGCCUGUGUUUGGCAGUGGAUUCUCUCCUGCAGCCUAAGGCUUAGUUUUGACUCUCUGAAAGUGGGCCUACGCAGAAAGAUUCUGCACAGACAGGCUUUGGAAGGUAUCAGGAGGAAAAGAACCAUCAAAGCAACAACUUAGUUAACUGGUGAUGGAGUCUAUAAACACCACAGCAGGGCAACUAGGAGUCUACAAUAACCAAGGUCUUCCAGCUAACCAGUCAAGAGAUAAUAGUCAAGAGUCAACCUACAAUAGAAGGAAGGCCUGGGUCAUCUAAAGAGACCUGCAGAAGAAUUGGCAUGACCACAGGCAGCCACUGUGAGAGAGGUGAUUAGACCUGCAGAGAGUAUGGAAAUAACUGAACUAAAGCCAUGUAGGGCAGGAAGUAAACCGGGGGAUAUUGGUAAGAAUGAAGCUGCCAUGAAAACUUGUCCUUGUGGUUCUGAGGUGGGACUCAGUGGAGUGCCAAUGUCUCAGGGCCCCUUAUACCCACUAACCAGUGAAGAGGAUUUAAAUGGCUGUUUCUUCUGGAGUUAGACAUGAUGGCAAGGGACCUUUAACCUUCACAGCCUGGUAGACUGAUAUUAGGCUGAAAGUGAUACUGACCUUGACCAACCCCAGAAGAGGAGAACCAAGUACUUUUAACAGACAUGAACAAGAGAGGUAUGUCACUGUGAAGAGAUUUCAGUGAUACAAGCUUUAUUCCAAAGUCCUGUGUGAAAUAUUUAAUUGUUCAAUGCUUUAAAAACUUGGAGAAUUUUUACACAGUUAAAAGGAAACAAAUCCAUGCAUUUGAAAUAAUAAAGUUUUCCUUGUGAUA